rnacentral:sRNA from 1 species
GCCAAGUGCAGUGGCGCUCACCUGUAAUCCCAGCAGCUCAGGAGGCUGAGGCAGGCGGAUCGUGAAUUCAGAGCCAGGCCCUAAACAACUCAGCAAGACCCUGUCUCUA